rnacentral:rRNA from 1 species
UACGAGGGGGGCGAGCGUUGUUCGGAAUUAUUGGGCGUAAAGGGUUCGUAGGCGGUUUGGUAAGUCUCGUGUGAAAUCUACAGGCUCAACUUGUAGUCUGCACGAGAAACUGCCGGGCUUGAGUGUGGGAGAGGUGAGUGGAAUUCCCGGUGGAGCGGUGAAAUGCGUAGAUAUCAGGAGGAACACCGAUGGCGAAGGCAGGUCUCUGGGCUGACACUGACGCUCAUGCGCGAAAGCGUGGGGAGCAAACAGG